GGCCCCAUAAUCAAAAAUCUAAGUACAUGUUUAGAUUCAGCAUAUCAAAAAAGCCCAAGAAUUCAAUUUUUGUUAAAAUCAAACUUAGUUUUAUAUUGGACUCUUUGGACUUUAAUGUAGACCAAUUUGAAAACGGGACCAAAAAUUAAGAAUCUACAUACACAGUUAGAUUUGGCAUAUCAAAGAACCCCAAUUAUUCAAUUUUUG
rnacentral:lncRNA from 1 species